rnacentral:rRNA from 1 species
GCAUUAUACCGUGAAACUGCGAAUGGCUCAUUAAAUCAGUUAUCGUUUAUUUGAUAGUACCUUACUACUUGGAUAACCGUGGUAAUUCUAGAGCUAAUACAUGCUAAAAACCCCGACUUCGGGAGGGGUGUAUUUAUUAGAUAAAAAACCAAUGCCCUUCGGGGCUCCUUGGUGAAUCAUAAUAACUUAACGGAUCGCAUGGCCUUGCGCCGGCGACGGUUCAUUCAAAUUUCUGCCCUAUCAACUUUCGAUUGUAGGGUAUUGGCCUACAAUGGUAUCAACGGGUAACGGGGAAUUAGGGUUCGAUUCCGGAGAGGGAGCCUGAGAAACGGCUACCACAUCCAAGGAAGGCAGCAGGCGCGCAAAUUACCCAAUCCCGACACGGGGAGGUAGUGACAAUAAAUACUGAUACAGGGCUCUUUUGGGUCUUGUAAUUGGAAUGAGUACAAUUUAAAUCCCUUAACGAGGAACAAUUGGAGGGCAAGUCUGGUGCCAGCAGCCGCGGUAAUUCCAGCUCCAAUAGCGUAUAUUAAAGUUGUUGCAGUUAAAAAGCUCGUAGUUGAACCUUGGGUCUGGCUGGCCGGUCCGCCUCACCGCGUGCACUGGUCCGGCCGGACCUUUCCUUCUGGAGAACCGCAUGCCCUUCACUGGGUGUGCCGGGGAACCAGGACUUUUACUUUGAAAAAAUUAGAGUGUUCAAAGCAGGCCUUUGCUCGAAUACAUUAGCAUGGAAUAAUAGAAUAGGACGUGCGGUCCUAUUUUGUUGGUUUCUAGGACCGCCGUAAUGAUUAAUAGGGAUAGUCGGGGGCAUCAGUAUUCAAUUGUCAGAGGUGAAAUUCUUAGAUUUAUUGAAGACUAACUACUGCGAAAGCAUUUGCCAAGGAUGUUUUCAUUAAUCAGUGAACGAAAGUUAGGGGAUCGAAGACGAUCAGAUACCGUCGUAGUCUUAACCCGUAAACUAUGCCGACUAGGGAUCGGGCGAU